AGCUAAAUUUCGUACGAUUAAACUAAAAAAGUAUAUUGUUGAUUCUAACAAUCGAUUGAUUAUUGAAUCAAAAAGAUUUGAUUGUUGAUUCAACAAUAUUUUAUGUUUAAACAACAAUAUUAUUUUUAUUUCAACAAUUUUUAUUGUUGAGCCGAGUUGCGUCCAUAAAAAUAGCCGUGUAUGUUUACCUUUUAUAUUUGUUCUUUGUUUUAAAAGGUUUUAAACAAAUUAAACGAUUCCUUCGUGGUAGGAAACAAACUGUUUCCACGAGAAGUGAAAAAAAAUGUUUGGUGCAAACAUGAUUGAUAAUGAGGAUCCGGAACCAGAAAAGGAAAGAGAUACACGUAGAUAAGUCGUCUUCAUUCACUCCCGGCUGAACGGAUGAUGAAAAGGCCAGGGCUUUUCUGCAGAGACAUCAGUAUCCUCUACUUCCGUGCCCAGCUUCGCUUCACAUUAUAAUCAACAAUAGAAGAUUGGCCAACAAAAUAAUAUGAAUAUUGUAAUCAAAUGAUAAAAAUAAAAUAUUUUAUGUGCA